rnacentral:rRNA from 1 species
GAUGAACGCUAGUGGCAGGCUUAACACAUGCAAGUCGAGGGGUAGAGGCUUUCGGGCCUUGAGACCGGCGCACGGGUGCGUAACGCGUAUGCAAUCUGCCUUGUACUGGGGGAUAGCCCAGAGAAAUUUGGAUUAAUACCCCAGAGUAUUUUCGGUUGGCAUCAACUGAUUAUUAAAGUUUUUCGGUACAAGAUGAGCAUGCGUCCCAUUAGCUAGUUGGUAUGGUAACGGCAUACCAAGGCUACGAUGGGUAGGGGUCCUGAGAGGGAGAUCCCCCACACUGGUACUGGGACACGGACCAGACUCCUACGGGAGGCAGCAGUGAGGAAUAUUGGUCAAUGGUCGCAAGACUGAACCAGCCAUGCCGCGUGCAGGAUGAAGCAUCUAUGGUGUGUAAACUGCUUUUGUACGGGAAGAAACACUGCUACGUGUAGCAGCUUGACGGUACCGUAAGAAUAAGGAUCGGCUAACUCCGUGCCAGCCGCCGCCGUAAUAC